GGUGGGGGGUGGGGUGGGUGGCUCUUACCCUCACAGCAUCCUUUUGUUUUCAGCUUUAUUCCCUCCUUCUAUCGUACCUAGUGUCCUUGGAGCCCAGACUCUUUCUGGUUCAGCCUUUCCAAAAAAGCCUGGAGAAGAGCAAGAUGAGGGAGAAGAACUGUCCUCUGAAAACAGGCUGGGGGCCAGCACUCUUCUUUCAGUGUAUCCUUCAUCUCUUUCUUCAGAGGCAUGGGCUCAGGAGGUCUUUUUGCCUCUCACUGGUGUCCUCUGUCGUUGGCCGUUAGCUUUUACAUUUUUUAAAUUUAUUUUUUAUUGUUUUGGCAAUUAGUUUUUAGCUCCCUCAACUCCCCAUCAGUUGCUGCUAGUCCGUUUGCUUCGGGUCUUCCAAAAUUUUGUUGAACUCUCAACCAGUGUCCUCUUGCUCUCAUUUCAGCUGUUUCCUUGUGGUUACUACCUUUUUUAAUUUUAAAAAUUAUUUUAAACUGAAUUAUUUUCCAAGGGAACAGAGAGAAACUGUGAACUCAUGUUUAAUAGGAAGCUUUUAACCUUGUUGCUUCCCCUCCUAAAAAAUGAAAGCAUCAUUUUCCUGAUUAGGUUAUAUAUAUCCAUCAUAGAAUAUUAGAGCAGAAAAUUAUAAAGGAGGAAGUAAAAAAAAAUCACUUUCUAGUAGUUAUCUUUGGGUGGUGAUGUUACAUUUUUUUCAGGUAUACAUACCCAACCUGUCAGCAUCAGUGACAUGUUUCUAAGUCAGUAGAUACAGAAUUGCAUUGUCAUUUUUUAAUAGCUAAAUAGUAUUCCAGUAUAGGAGUAUCCCACUUAAGUCUUUGUUGGACUUUUGAUGCGAGUUCCUCUCCCCCCCCACACAGUGUAAACAAAUAUAACACAUAUCAUGUAUACUCAAUUAUUUACUUAUUUAAUUAUUUUUUUAGUAUGAAUCCCUGGAAAUGGAAUUUCCAAGUCAAAGGAAAUGUAUAUUUUAAAGGCUUUUUUCCACUCUGUUGCCAUAUAACUUCCUCAGCCCCCAGAAAAACUGUAGACUAGUUUAUGCUUUUAUCAGAGAUACACAAGCAACCCUAUUUCCCUAACUAGCUGUUAUAAUUUAUUCUUUUAAAUUAACUACUUAGGUUCCACUUAUUAGUUUGUAAUAUUAGCUACCAGUUUGAAGUUAAAAAACUAUUUUUCCCCAAGAAGCACUUUUUUUUAAAAAGAUUUUAUUUAUUUGAAAGAAAGAGGGGGAGAGAGAGAGAGUGCUAGCAUGAGAGGGGAGAGGGGCAGAGGGAGAAGGAGAAGCAGACACCCUGCUGCGCAGGGAGCCCAUCCUGGGCCUCCAUCCCAGGACCCUGAGAUCAUGACCUGAGCUGAAGGCAGAUGCUUAACCAACCGAGCCACCCAGGCGCCCCCUAAGAAGAACAUUCUUACAGUUAACUCUGGACACUAUAAAGUUUUAAAUAACAGAUGGCUUAUUAACAUAGUCAGAUUCAAAGUUAGGUUACUUUAUGACCAAAGAAACAGGGACUUAAUGUUUUCUUCUUAAAAAUGGCUUUGUCAGUUAUAGUAUUAUUGAUAUACCACACUUUCUAUAUUACUGUCAUUAGACUACCAGAAUUUUCUUUGAUACAGAUCCUAAUUUUUUAAUGUAGUAUUUCAAAAAGUAUUUCAGCCAAUAAGCUAUUAUUCUUAGUCACUCUCUGAAUGUACUAAUGGGGAAAAUGCAACUUAAAUAAUCUGUCAUUGUACAUUUCCCUAUGUAAAAGGAAUAAUGGGGAAAGUCAACCUGGAUCACAAUCAGGUGAAAAAUGGAAUAAAAUUCUAGGGCCUGCUGGGUCCUCAUAACUUUCCUAGACUGAGGCAUGAAAUCAAACAAUUAAUGAUUUCUAUAAUAUAUAAUAAUCAUUAGCUUCAUUGUAUAAAUCCUUGUUUUCCUGUGCCACAAAAUAUUUCUCUUGCCAUACUUCUGCUUCUAAUGACAAUUUCAGAGACUGAAUGCAAUAAGUAUAAAAUAGUCUUGAUUGUGUUCAGCUAAAUCUGCCUGAAAUCAUGCAUCUUGGAUACAUGGCCUCUUCAUGUUUGAAACAGAAGUGUGAGAUACCUAACCAGACCCAACUUUGGGUAAUAAAUCUAUAACCCAAAAACCCAAAUCUUAGUAGUCUCUGUAACAUUGACCUAGUGCUUUCAGGCAUCCAGGAAAAGUGUCCAGUAAACCAGUCAAUUUCUCUACACAGCUCUGGGGAAAUUCACUGCAGCCAAGUGGCAUGCUCUCUGAUUUUAUUUAAUUGAGUUUUACUUAGAAUAUAUAAACACUGCAAGUUGGUUAGAAAUGGCACAUAUUCUAGCCUGUUUUGCAAGGAUUAUACAGUCCAGAGCAAUGCAGUGAUCCAACACUACCUUGGCUAACGAAUGUAUUUUCUUUUUGUUAGGCAACAGUGACAAGAACAGUUUUGUUGGUGAACACGCCUAAGGUGAUAGAUUCUUCAUCAUGUGUUCAUGGGCCCCGAUUCCCCACCAGGGUAGAAAAAUGUUCUUCCCAACAAACAUCAAAUUCUAUCCUCCUGGUAACCAAGCACGUGAACUCCCAUGUGGUGUUCAUUCCCUUCUUGUUUGGUAAAAAGGUUUAAGGGGGUUAGUGCAGUGACUGGGUUUCUUUGGGAUUGUGACUAGAGAAAGGGGGACCAAAUUUUUAAGUCAAUAGAUUUCUCUUAUUUUCCAGCUGCCAAGACACUGCUCCCCCAGGGCUGGUUAGAAGUAGUGGGAAGAUGUCCCUUUUGACCAGGAUUUUUCUUAGAAAAGCAUCACACAGUUCCAGUGUCUCUGGUGAUCUUUCUGAGUGGCCCACACAGCAACAGGCGGGAGGGUUGUCUAAAGGUGAGCUGCUGUGGCGGUUUUUCUGACGCUCACAUCAGGUGGUCUAAUGUCAGUUUGUAGGGCUCGAGGUAAAGGGCAGUUUUCAUUUUAACUGAUUUCAAGUCAAAGACUGGGGAGAAGUUGGAAGGCUUGGUUUGAAGAGUCAUAGGCAGAUAUUCAGGGAGACCAGGAGAACUCAGUACCCAGCCGAGUUUUAUAGGGAAACAACACUCAAAAAAACCCAAAUAAUUAGAAGUAGCACCCAACAUCCACAAAGGUUUAUUUUUAUUUUUUUAACUUUAUUUUAAUGCAAGUAUAGUUAACAUAUAUAGCAUUAUGUUAAUUUCUGGGGUACAAUAUAGUGAUCCCACAGUUCCAGACACCUCCCCAUAACUGAGCUGUAAUGUUUCAGCAAAUAGACAUGGUUAAUUUGAGCAAGUUUCAUGCUCCCUUACUACCUGUUCAGAAGAGGACAAGGUUGUUUUUUGUGUUUUUUUAAAAUGUUUAUAGGGGUUGGGAUUACAUAAAUAUUGAUGAAAAGGGCAGGGAAAUUUACGACUCUUUCUUUUUUAACAGAUUUAUUUAUUUGAGAGAAAGAGUGUGGGGGGAGGGGUAGAGAGAGAGUGAGUCUUAGACUCCAUGCUGAAUGGGGAGCGGGAGGUGGGGCUGGAUCUCACCACCCUGAGAUCGUGACCUGAGCCGAAACCAAGAGUCGGAUGCUUAACCAACUAUGCCACCCCAGCACUGGUAAGUUAUGAUUUUCUUUAAGAAAGACGGAGUAAUGCGCGUUGAGCAAACAUUUGAAACGUGCAUCCUUUGUUAGGGUAGAGACUUAACAUUAACAUGAGACAAAAUUUGGCCCCUUCGUUCAGGAGGUCAUGUUAGGACAAGGUGAGGGGCUAGGUGCAAGGUCCGUGAACCAGUAGAAACUGGAUGGGAUCUUGGGUUCCUUAUCUCGGGGAAGGAAUGCAGAGCCUUGCUCGUUCAUAGGCUGGAAGCAUACUCGUGACCUUCAGUUUAUGCCUCUGCGCACAGGCAGAGUGGAUUCCUUAGUGGGGUCUGGAAAGAAUCAGUAGCUGAUUCAGAGAAACAGGUCUCUGAAAAACAAGCUUUAAGUUUCCUGUUAGUUUCAACCUCAUUAACCCUUAUGGGCGUGGUUUCAGGUAUAGGUAGUAUCUAAUAAGAAUACAAAGUAAUAGGGGUGCCUGGGUGGCUCAGUCAGGUAAGCGCUGGACUCUUAAUUUGGCUCAGGUCAUGAUCUCAGGGUCGUAGGACUUGAGCCCCCUCUUGGGCUCUAUGCUAGGCAUGGAGCCUGCAUGAGAUAUUCUCUCUCUCUCUCUCUCUCUCACUCUGCCCCUCCCCUCCCCCACCCACUUGUAGGUGUGCUCUCUCUCUCAAAUAAUAAUAAUAAAGUCUCCUUUUAAAAGAGAAGAAUAUAAAUUAGUAGUUUUGUGGUGGUUUGAGAAGUACCAAUGGCCUGAAAUGUUGACCUUUGCUGCCACCUGCAGGCUAUAUUUCAUAAUGUAGGUAAUUCCGAUAAAAUGCCAUGUGUAAAAUACUGUUUGUCUUUUCUUUCCCCCGCUCUUUCUCACUUGCUGGCAGUGUAUCCUGUUUAUAAGAAACUGAGUGAUUGCCCAUUGUUCUCUAAAGCUUGUGGUACUAGAUUAUAUUUAGGAGUUCCCAAAAUGAAGUCUCUCAUGUAAACUCCCCCCCCAACAGGAUUUUCGCUAAUAAAAAUGAAAUAUAGUGACUUUCAUGAAUAGAGCCUAUGCAAAUAAGGAAAGUAAUAAGAAAUAAAAGGUUCUAGAGCCAAAUCUGUACUUGAGAAUGUAAGUGUUUCCUUGAGAUCCAAAUGUGACCUUGGGGAGCAGAUGGGCUUACUUCGGAACUGAGCUGUGAUGUGUCAACAGAGUAGACAUGGUGAAUUUGAGCAAGUUUCAUGUUCUUUGACUGCCUGUUCAGUGAUUACUUUUAGGAAUUUGGUUCUGUGUAAUUUGAACGAUGAUUUUCCCACACUCAGCUUUCUAUUUUUCUCUCAUUUUAAUGAGAAAUUCAGUAAUUGAAGCAAGCUUUCCUAAACCUCCAGACCAGUAUUAGGUCAAACACUUCCAUGAAUUUGAGGUUUUGGUGCCUGUCCCAGAAACCCAGUUGUUUCUGAGGUCACCUGGGCUGUUGAGCGGUAGACUGUACACACGCAGGCAUGUGCACCUUCACGGUCGCUGUUUUCCCUCAUUGCAUGUAAAAUAACGCUCAUCUGUACAUUGACAUUGCUGUUGAGGGGCCUUCAGGAUUUUAGGGAUGAGCUUGUAUUAAUCCUAAGUAGCUUGCUUGCUGGAAUAUAAUUGAAUUUGAAAUUACGGAGUACUCGAUUGAUUGAUUCCGAGGCCGCCUUUUCUUACCCAUCUCUCCGCUC